rnacentral:tRNA from 1 species
GAGGGUAUAGCUCAAGUAGUAGAGUCCAUGCUUAGCAUGCAUGAGGUCCUGGGUUCAAUCCCCAGUACCACCU